GAAAUGCGAUAAGUAGUGUGAAUUGCAGAAUUCAGUGAAUCAUCGAAUCUUUGAACGCACAUUGCGCCUUCUGGUAUUCCGGGAGGCAUGCCUGUUCGAGCGUCAUCAAAAACCUCAAUCCCCGAUUUAUCGGGGGUUGGUCUUGCACCGGAGGCGUCAGCUUCCUCUGCGAAAUCCAAUGGCGAAGAGCCACGCAACCAAAGCGUAGUAAUUUAUUCUCGCGAUGGAGAACGUGAGCGCUUCCGCCGCAAACCCCCCCAUUCUUAGUUUUUGACCUCGGAUCAGGUAGGGAUACCCGCUGAACUUAA
rnacentral:misc_RNA from 1 species